AACAUUUUAAAAAGUCUGUAAAAAUAAUUAUUCUUGCUGCACUUUAUGCAAAUAAUCAGGUCAAGUAUAAGACUAAAGUUUAUUUCGGAAACAACUUAUUCCUAUCAUGAUUUGUUUUUAACA